CCUACGGGUGGCAGCAGUGGGGAAUAUUGGACAAUGGGCGCAACCCUGAUGCAGCAACGCCGCGUGAACGAAGAAGUCUCUCGGUAUGUAAAGCCCUUUUAGCAGGGAAGAAGAAAGUGCCGUACCUGGGUAAUAAGCACCGGCUUAAUACGUGCCAGCAACCGCGGUAAUACGGAGGGUGCCAGCGUUAUUCGGAAUUACUGGGUGUAAAGGGGGCGCAGGCGGGACGGCAAGCCUGGUGUGAAAGCCCGGGGCCCAACCGCGGGACUGGAAUGGGAACUGGCGGGCUGGAGUGCCGGAGAGGUAGGCGGAAUUCCUAGUGUAGCGGUGAAAUGCGUAGAUAUUAGGAGGAACACCAGUGGCGAAGGCGGCCUACUGGACGGUGACUGACGUUGAGGCUCGAAAGCGUGGGGAGCAAACAGGAUUAGAUACCCUGGUAGUC
rnacentral:rRNA from 1 species